rnacentral:rRNA from 1 species
GUGCAGCCGCCGCGGUAAUACCGGCAGCCCAAGUGAUGGCCGAUCUUAUUGGGCCUAAAGCGUCCGUAGCUGGCUGCGCAAGUCCGUCGGGAAAUCCACUCGCCCAACGAGUGGGCGUCCGACGGAAACUGCACAGCUUGGGACCGGAAGGCUCGAAGGGUACGUUCGGGGUAGGAGUGAAAUCCUAUAAUCCCGCACGGACCACCGAUGGCGAAAGCACUUCGAGAAGACGGCUUCGACAGUGAGGGACGAAAGCUCGGGUCUCAAACCGGAUUAGAAACCCCGGUAGUCC